GCUAUUAAACUAAAUUAAUUUGUUUCUAUUAGAUUAGUAAAACAAUGUUUGGCACAUCGCAUUGAUGUACCAAAGUCGGAUAUUUAUAACAUUUAUUUAUUAGCUACUCAUAAUAUAUUUUUUUAUUCCCUUAAUAAUUGGUAAUUAAUAAUAUUUACCUAUAGUUACUAAAAACCGUCCAAGCGCGAAUCGUUUUUCAGGGUUCCGUAGUCAACUAGGAAUCUUUAUAGUUUCGCCCUGUACGUCUGUCUGUCUGUUGGCGACUUUGCCCCGUGAUCGUUAUUGCUAGAAAACUGCAAGUUGGUAUAAAUAUAUAAAUCAAUUGUGCCAACAAAGUGGUACACCUAAAAAUAAAAAUAAAAGUUUUUUUUACGGUACCUCUCCUGAACGUAAAGUGGAGAUGAGUUUUUUUUUCAAACCUACGUAGGGUGUGGUUGGAUAGGUAUUUGAAAACAAAUAGGGGUCUCCAAUAUUUUCUAAAAUAAUCGCUCCGAUAAAAAAAAAAUUGUGCCCUACCCCCAUCACCUCCUUUUGAAUCAUGGAUCACAAAAAUAUGAAAAAGUUGUGAAAAUAGAGCUUAAUAUAGACAUUCCAUGAAAACUAUAGCGAACAUGAUCAAUUAAGCUAAAAAAAGACGUACAAAAGGGCUGUCAAGUUAUUUUGCGACAUAUCCGAUUGCCUCGGAUGUGACAAGAGAAUAAUUCCACCAGCAUUCCUCUGCUCAAAUUAACCCACAGAGUCAUCACUUUAAAAAACACCAUGAGUCAUCCACUUAUGCCUGAUAGAUUGACAGCAUUUGGUAUCAGUUGAUAAAAGAAGAUAUAGAUUUGUCUCAUUCAAUAUAUAAGCUAGUUUCGUAUCAAGUGACUUAAAGUCAACAAGUCUUACAAGGGUGGUGUAAUAAGGAUUGAUCAUGGCCGCUCUCAUCAAACUUAGUCUUUUUGUGAUUGCCACAAUCGCGAUGGUUAACUCGCAGCGCGUCGUCGAUGUUCCCCUGAAUAUGCCUCCAAAUUUGCCGUGGAUCCCACAGUGGGUUGAGUGCGAAUUCGAGUUCGAAACGUUUAAAAAUGGUCCCACAUGUAACGACUGCUACAGCACCUACUACUGCACGCCUAAAGGGGGCAUCCUGAGGAACUGCUUCGGAUGGACACCUUACUGUGUUGACGGGAAAUGUGUUAAAGAACCCAGUGUGGACUGCGCAGAGGUUGAGACAGUCACCGAAGUUUAUUAGGGUCUGAUAGUUUGAUUGUAUACGAGAAUAUGUACCUAUAAUCAAAUAAUGUAAAUAUAUUAAAAUAAAUCCUUAUAUAAA